rfam:Trichinella papuae scaffold117s, whole genome shotgun sequence.
CCAACGGUCCUUUUCAGGACCAAUUUAUUUUUACUGAAAUCAAUG